CUACUCUAGACUCCAAUCCGAAACGUGAAAUUCUUUCGCCUUUUACUAAAGAAUUCCGGGCUUGGGGUCAACUUGAGUUUUCAUUCUUUUUCCGAACCCACUGCAAAUGGUGGGU